GAAAGAUGAAAAGAACUUUGAAAAGAGAGUUAAACAGUACGUGAAAUUGUUGAAAGGGAAACGAUUGAAGCCAGUCGUACCUAUGGGUAAUCAGCCUUUUGGGUGUGAUUUUGUGGAGCGUGAGGAGUUAAACGCCUUCAUGCCUGCAUAUUCGUGCACUUUGGGUGUACUUGCCCGUAUGGUUGGUUAACAUCAAUUUUGGUGGUCAUAAAAUGACUGGAGGAAUGUAGCUUCGAUCUCGUAUUGAAGUGUUAUA
rnacentral:rRNA from 1 species